rnacentral:sRNA from 1 species
UCUGCCUUUCUUUCUCUCAUGCCUGUCAUGCUUGCAUGUGCGUUUAUCCUCCCGUAGUGUCCAUGUUUAAAUCUGUAUUCACUACAGCUCUGGUGACUAGACAGAUGGUUCCCAAGUUAAAAGAACUUGCGGUGCGAUCAUGAGGCCUACAGUCCAAAUCCCAGCAUCCUGCAAACACCAGACACUACAGCUGCCACGAGAAUAUUGAAAAAGAGUUUUACCAGGCCACAAGCUCGACAGAAUUCCAACCUCUAUAUUUGGGCUAUGAUCAACAUGUUUGGAUACUUAGCAAAAGAUUUUUGCUGGUCAGUCUUUAAAAUGUGCUCAUUAUUUGUACCAAUUGAGUAAUGUCAUUAAAUGUACUCCUGUGCCAGAAUAUUAUUAGUCUGUAAGGAAUUUAGAAGGAUUAGGUGCCAAAAUACCCAGCACAAUACUUGUAUAUUUUUUUAGUAUCAUACAGAACGAAUACUCCAAGAACUAAGAACUCUGUAGACCUUCCAUGGUGUAUUCCUUCAGUCAUCUCAAACACCGUGGGCUUCUCUUGCUCUCUGCCUGCUCAGUCUGUUUACAUCUCCCACAUUACACCAGAACCCAUCAGGUUUGCUUUGCCAUCAUUCUAUUAAACUAAGUAUUGUGGUGAUUAUUUAAUGUCUCUGUCUUAUUUUGUGCUGUUUGGGAAACCCCCAUUUGAAAAUCAACUUUGUUACAGAGGCACAAAUCUUCAAUAAUGUCUCCAGACAAUAUGCCUUAUAGUUAAUUUAAUGUUUGCACUCAGAGGUGCAAACUAACAAGAAGGGCCUGAAAAAGAGAGGAGAGGAGGCUAUUAAAUAUUUUUUAGUAAUAUGUUGCCUCUGUCUUGUGCAGAACAUGUAGAGUUGAAGCAACACCAGUAUAAAAUCCAUCUGAGUAUUCAGAGGGCCUUGAGACUUGAUGCUCACACAUGUCCUGCCUAAGUGGUUUCCACCAGGAUUGUGUCACUGGCAAGUAUGACAUGUUUUAGAAGCAUCCUCAACAAACCCUGCUAAAAUUUGCCUACCUGUUAAUCUCAUACUAUUGCCAACUGAUUUCUGCUAUUAUACGUAAUAUCAACAGAAGCAUUUUCACUAAAUUCCAUACCUAACAUUUAGGCAUUAUCUAUCAAUUAUUUGCAAAAGUGCAAAAUAUUUGUCUCCAAUAAACAUUUCCAUUUGCUUCUUAUUUUAUUCCAGAUCAAGAGUUAAGAAUGCCUUCUUUGAAUUAUUUUUUCUGUAUUGUUGUAGGGACACUUACUUGUCUUGGUUAAUAUGACUCUUUUUGACCUGUGUCACCUCUUUGAAAGUCUGUCCAAAGUGAGCAGUGGGGUGAACAAUGGCGGCAUCUUUAGGUAUCUGGAUCCAACCAUCAGGAGCUCUAAGCACUGACCCCCAAUGGCUGCCUGCCUCAGUUUGCACACCAGAUGGAUGCCAAUGCUGGUCUUUGUCAGGAAAGGACACAGAUUUCCUAAGGGUGCUUUCAACAUUAGUUCCUAUUAGAGUAUGUAACUGAAGAGGUAUCAGAGAUAACUCUUAUGUUUCUUUAACGUGAUAGAUGUUCCUCAUAUUUUUCUAAAUUUAGAAAUAUCUUGACCAUUGUGCCAUGUAAAGUAUUGAUUAUUGUUUAUUAAAGCUUCUAAUUUAAACACUAACUUCCAAAUGGCAACAGAAGAAAAGUAAAACAACAUUAGGGGCAGAAGAAUAAUUUGGAUCAUGUGUGUUGGAAUAGAGGUACUGAACAGAACCACUCGAGUGGGAAGGGCCCAGGUCACCAUCAAGGAGACUAAAGCUGGGGUAGGAAGAGCAUGAGAAA